rnacentral:rRNA from 1 species
UACAGAGGUCUCAAGCGUUGUUCGGAUUCAUUGGGCGUAAAGGGUGCGUAGGUGGCGCCGUAAGUCAGGUGUGAAAUUUCGGAGCUUAACUCCGAAACUGCAUUUGAUACUGCGGUGCUUGAGGACUGGAGAGGAGACUGGAAUUCACGGUGUAGCAGUGAAAUGCGUAGAUAUCGCAAGGAAGACCAGUGGCGAAGGCGGGUCUCUGGACAGUUCCUGACGCUGAGGCACGAAGGUCAGGGGAGCAAACGGG